UUGUAUACGGCUAAAUCGGAGGGUCCAAUUUCUUGUCAUUAACUUACUUUGGAAGGUCACCUUCAAGGCUCGAGGCCACAGCCGAGUAUCCUCCGUCGAGGGUCGUCGAAACCGACCCCAAGAUAGUGAUGACCAUGGCUAUGAUGAAGAUGGGGAGUUCCCAAGGCGCAUAGCUAAGACUGACAAAGCUUAGCCGGUACUCUAAAC
rnacentral:lncRNA from 1 species